UGAUCAGCAGCACUUCCUUAAUAAGAUGCACCUCCCCAGGAUCAUGAAGAGAACCCAGUCACCCCACAGAGAGACCGUUUCCCUGUCCUCUCAUACUACUCAGAGCCAGCCUACCUGCAGCACCGUAAGGAUGUGACUAGAGAUCUGGCCCCGCUGCCUGGUGCAACGAGAAGAGGAGCCCUGGAUGAGGAAGACCAGGAAGAGACGCUGAGCCUACGGAGCAUGCCCAGUAUGAGAAGCACCCUGAGUCACGCCUCAAAGGUGAAAAGGUCACGGGGCUUCCCGAAGAGACACACCGUCCCCGAGCUCAGACUGCCCCCUGUUACUAAGAUUCAUCCUGACCCCAGAGCCAGUCUGGAAUUGAGGGGUACUGGCUACCUGAGAUGUUCCAGACUUCCACCCAUCAUCAAAUCUACCAGAACCCACGAGCCUCUGCAUCAGGAAAGACCCCCAGGUCCAGCUGGGUACAGGUUAGAUACCUUUCUCAAUGUAGGUUCUAACUAAUUACUCACGGCCCAAUGUGAGGAAGAGGAGCUACUCACACAGUAACUCUACAGGGGCGUCAGGACACACCCGUGGGGGACCCCGCCACAGUCCUGCUAAUAAUGGAGUCUCACGCUUCUCCCCACCCAGGUAUAGUCUACAUACAGCAAUCAUCCCUCCCCAGGUAUAGUCUAUAUACAGCAAUCAUCCCUCCCCAGGUAUAGUCUACAUACAGUAAUCAUCCCUCCCCAGGUAUAGUCUAUAUACAGCAAUCAUCCCUCCCCAGGUAUAGUCUACAUACAGUAAUCAUCCCUCCCCAGGUAUAGUCUACAUACAGUAAUCAUCCCUCCCCAGGUAUAGUCUACAUACAGUAAUCAUCC